rnacentral:lncRNA from 1 species
GCCAGCUCCUCCACAAUGCCCUCCUCCUCCUUGAAGUUCUCCCAGUCCAGCUUGGACUUCUCCAGCGUGCUCAUCUUCUGUUUUUUGGAGCCGAUCUUCCCCAGGAGGCUGCUGAUACCGCUCGGCCUCUUCACCAUCUCGAGUGCCGGCUUUUUUGUCAAAGGGCUUUUUCAUUUAUCUUCUUAAGAGAACAGAGAGCUUUCAGGCCAAGAGAGAUCAUUAAAUCAUCCAGCUUGACCCCUUGUAUACACCAGGCCAAGCCAUUCCAC